rnacentral:sRNA from 1 species
UGCAGUGCUUCUUCUUCUUCUUCUUCGUCGGAGUU